UUGUGACAGAUAUUUGAACUACAUUUUGGACAUAGCUGAUGUUAAAAUUAUUAAUUAAAUUUUAUUUAAAUAAGAAAGGUAUUGAUUAUCUUAAUCAAUAUGUAUACCGUUAGAUAAUGCAAACAAUUCUCUGGUCAUUUAAAGAUUAUUUGUUAUCACCAAAGUCAAAUUGACCUCUCUAUCAUAUAUGUAACAUCUACUUAUGCAACAUUUUGACCUUAUUUCGGACAGUAAACUUAGAGAUAAUUUCUAAUCAAAUCGUGACAAAGAAAGCCACGUUGGCAUAACAUCAAUUUAAUGAUUGCUAUAUAAGUAGAAAUUCUGCUUUGAGACGUCAAAGUUUGAAUUUUGAAACUUAUAGGUGUCAGUCGAUCCCGGCCUGCCUUUACAUCGGCAACAACGCCCGGCCUGCCUUUACAGCGGCAGCAAUGCCAUGUACCAUCCAAGGCAUUGUCCACGACUAGUUUCCACAAAAUGUAAAAUCCAGAACCCACUCUCACACAUGUAGUUCGUCUGUCGAGAGGCCGAGGGAAAGCAGAUAAUGUUACAGAUCCCGAAUUAUCAACCAUCUAUUUUUUGUUAUAAUAUAUGGUGGACGACCUUUUCAACGCUGACACCUACAUUAACAUCUAAACCUAAAGCAUGCCAGAAACUUCGACAGUGUUUCGACAAUUAGAAUAGAAGAUUUACAGUUGGAUAUUAUUUUUGUAUCAUUCGGACUUUUUAAUUCUACAUAUUUCCAGUAGAUGAUAUAUCUGUGAAUAAUGAAAAUACACCAUUGAACAAAAACAUCAGCUGAUUAUCAAAGAACAUUUUAUUAUACGUGAACAUUUAUCAACAUCAGUGACAUUAAUAGUAAAUUUAUAUUAUUGUGUAUUUCAAUUGUAAACAUAUAUUUUCAUGAAACUGUGAGUACAUCAAAAGCUUACUUUUAAAAUCUAAAAUUUUAAUUUAAAUAAAUUUUAAGCUAUGAAACAAAAUGUUCAUUUUCAUUUCACAAAUCGUAUUGCGUUUCAUGUCUUAAAAUUUCAAGAAAAACUUUUCUAAAAAAACUGUCUAAAUACAUGUAAGUUAUAAAAUUAUGUUUUUUAUAAAGUGUUGUAAAAUUUUAUUCAUUUAAAUCAUCCAUUGAAUAACUUUUCAGAAUGAUGUUAAUUAGAACUGAAUGUUUGUAUUUCAAACGCAUGUCAAUAUUAAUAUUUGCAAUGAGUCGUCUUUAAGAAUAGGUUUAAACUUCAUUAAGAGUUACGUAACGUAAAUAUCCUUGUUUGUAAGUUACCUAUUAGGAACAAGUUAGUCAAAUUCUUGUUGCCGUUUACUGUACAUUUUUGAAAAAUCAGAGUUAUAAUAGUUUAAUAUAUACAUAUAUAGGCAAGCAUAAUGCUCAGGCUACCUGAAUAACAGGAACGCCACAAAUAGUAGUUAAUGGGUCACCUCAGGAGCAGGGACGCCACAAAUAAUAGAUAUAAUGGGUUACCUCACAAGAAGGAACGCCAUACAAAAUAUGCGCAUGGGUCACCUCAGGAGCAGGGACGCCACAAAUAAUAGAUAUAAUGGGUUACCUCAAGAGAAGGAACGCCAUCAAAAAUAAAUGCAUGGGUCACCUCAGGAGCAGGGACGCCACAAUCAAUUGACAAAUGGGUUACCUCAGGAGCAGGAACACCAUUAAAAUGAUAAGACAGUAACUUAGAGACUGCAAUAAGCAAAAUCAACUUCUGUUUAAGAUUUAUUCAAGAUUUCAUAUUUCAUAUAUUUUUGCAACAUUUUGUUUAAACACUUUUCUUAUAUUUAUAACUACAUUUCAUCAACUGUAAAGAUAAACGUUCCUUUGUAAGCAUGUGGGUAACAAACUUUAAAGAACAAUGAUUUAUAAUUGAUACUUAAUAGUAUUUUAUCAUCAUAACAUCAAUUAAAUUAAAAAAGAAAAAGAAAAAAAGGAAAAAGAAAACACCAAUUGAAUAGUAUGAUUAAGGAAUCUAAAAAAGAAGAAAAAAAAGAAGAAAAAAAAAAAGAGAAAAAUAUUAAAAAAUAAGUUCAAAAUUUUUAUCCCUUAAAAUCAAAUACUAAAUGCUAAGUGUUUAUGUAUCCAUUAAUUUUUCGUCACUCAAUUGCUUGUCUUCUAUACUAUUUUGAGGUUUAAAUAUGGAUAUUGAUUAUUUACUUACAUUAAUAAUUAAAAGUUAUAAAUCCAUUUUCAAAUUAAUAUAGUAAACAUAAAAUUUUACACAAUUUCUCUUAAAUAUUCUUUAUUAUUUAUUUUAUUUUGGAGUCCAAAAUUUCUAAGGAGAGUGAUGUAUUGUGACAGAUAUUUGAACUACAUUUUGGACAUAGCUGAUGUUAAAAUUAUUAAUUAAAUUUUAUUUAAAUAAGAAAGGUAUUGAUUAUCUUAAUCAAUAUGUAUACCGUUAGAUAAUGCAAACAAUUCUCUGGUCAUUUAAAGAUUAUUUGUUAUCACCAAAGUCAAAUUGACCUCUCUAUCAUAUAUGUAACAUCUACUUAUGCAACAUUUUGACCUUAUUUCGGACAGUAAACUUAGAGAUAAUUUCUAAUCAAAUCGUGACAAAGAAAGCCACGUUGGCAUAACAUCAAUUUAAUGAUUGCUAUAUAAGUAGAAAUUCUGCUUUGAGACGUCAAAGUUUGAAUUUUGAAACUUAUAGGUGUCAGUCGAUCCCGGCCUGCCUCUACAUUGCCAACAACGACCGGCGGCUUGCUUUAACAGCGGCAAUGCCAAAUACCAUCGUCGGCAUUGUUCCCAGCUAGUUCCCAUCAAGAUUGAUCAAAGCUAGUUCCCACCUCAAAAAUGUAAGAUUCCAGAACCCACUCUCACAGAUGUAGUUCGUCUGUCGAGAGGCCGAGGGAAAACAGACCAUGCUUCACUCCCCGAAUAUUCAACAUUAUUUUGAUAUAA